AUUCCACGAGCUACUCAAAAGCCUUUUAAGAGCCGGAUAUGGUGGCUCUUGCCUGUAAUCCUAGCACUUUGGGAGGUUGAGGCGGGAGGAAUGCCUGAGCCCAAGGGUUCGAGACCAGCCUAAGCAACAUAAAAAGAGUGAGUAACUAGUGGCCUUUAGAUGAGCCAACCGCAAGCCUGGACUCAUCUUUGACAUCUCCUGCUUCCCUCCAUAAUGACCGUCGUUGCUCCUCUUGCCCAAGCCUUUGCAUGGAUGAUUGUCUGUCCUCUGUUGGGCCCCUUCUGAAGAGAUGGAGUUGGGUAAGUGUCACUCAUGAGAGCAGGAACACAAUCAGGCAAACCACAGGAUUGCCUCAUGUCUCAAUUUUUUCCCCCAAAUCUCCCCUUUAAGUGAGGGUACUUCAAAGUGAAUAUGGGGAUUCUCAACUCCUCAUAUCUUUUUGUUUAAAAAGGAAGAAUUAAUGGGACUAAAAAUUUAAAACAACAGAUGUACUAAAUGUGUGAUUACUGCUGUGAAUAAGACAUAUGGGGGAGUCCCACUCCCUGUGGUUGAGGGCUGUGGUGGAGGUCUGAUUCCAUCCCAGAGGAGCUGAGCCUCAAGCCGCCACUAGGAAAGGACCGCUGAUUUCCCUCAGCGUGAAGGAGAUAAGGAGCCAUUGCUGUCUAAACAUAGCUAUCUAACCGCUUGUGGUUAACAGGAGACCCUGCUAAGAAUUUGGGGUAAUUCAGUUAAGAAUGACUAUUGGAAUGUGCUGUGUGGUAAGGGAGAAAAUCUACUUCCAAAUGACUUGCCACGUGACUCCGAUGGAAUUCAAGGGCAGAGAGGAACCAACUCUUCUAGACUCCUCUGCCGAUGGCAACAUGGUGAAGUGAGCUGCACUCCAGAAUCCAGGGUCACAACAGUUCCAGUUGUGCUUAAAUGCUAUCUCUUCCAUUCUGGCCCCAGAUUUUUUUUUCUGUCUCUCGACAGAGCUACAUAGCUGAGUCAUGACGCCUUGAGUGAGAAAACAGCGUCUUCAGACAGUGCCUGAGAUAAGAAAAAAAGUGAAGUAGAGUCCCCAGAACAGUGGUGUGUAUGUUGAUAUCACUGAGUUAUGGACUAUUUCCUUUUAGCCAGUUUCAAAAGAUGACUUUCUCCAUAUGCAAUUAAUUCCACAUAUAACUACAAGAAACUGCAUAUUUUAGAACAGUUGUGUCAUCAGUAUGAAUGUUUAAACAAUCUCUGUGGUCUCUUUCCCACAAACUGAUUUAACAUGUAUAUAAAGAGGCUUUGGAAUGAGCACUUUACAUUUGCUUCUCAAACUUCAGCGUCUGUUUUCAGUAAAUAUUGAAGAUGAAACUUGCCUCAUUCAUGCCUGGAGCACUGGCCAGUUACAACAAAGGAAUGCGGUUGCUGGGCUUCUCAUGAAUAAAAUUCUCCAGUUGUGAACCUAGCCUUUCUCAGGCCAUGUCAACAGCAAAACAACAGAAUGGAUGUGGAAUAAAGCAUUGGUGGUCAGUCUAUUGAGCUGGCUACAGAUUAUCCUAAUUAAUAUCCCAAUGGUGGGAGUAACACAGACUCACGUUCAAAUUCUGCCUCUAUCAUUUACAGGUGGGGCGCCCAUGUAUUUGAGUUUGCCCAGGGUGGUUUCAGCUCACUCUUACUGCUCUGGUGUAAUUAUUGAUAGCAAUUCCUUCCUAUUUCAGAUGUGUCCCAGUGUGAGCUAUAAUACAUAUGCUCACCCUACUCAUAGCAACACCCCGCUGACUUCUCUGUGCCCCUGCUUUUUACGGGUACAGGAGUAUGUGUUGGGGUUCUAUUCUA